rnacentral:rRNA from 1 species
UACGUAGGGGGCGAGCGUUGUCCGGAUUUACUGGGCGUAAAGCGCGUGUAGGCGGCCCGUUAAGUGGGGUGUGAAAGCCCGGGGCUCAACCCCGGGGACGCCGCUUCAAACUGGCGGGCUUGAGGACGGAAGAGGGGAGUGGAAUUCCUGGUGUAGCGGUGAAAUGCGUAGAGAUCAGGAGGAACACCGGUGGCGAAGGCGGGUCUCUGGGCAGUAACUGACGCUGAGGAGCGAAAGCGUGGGGGAGCGAACAGG